rnacentral:lncRNA from 1 species
GUCAAUGAACUGAAAUUUCAAUCACCAAACAAUCCCAGCUCCCACAAGUUUGACUGAUUGACAAUGUACGAUGUCUCUUGUCAUUAAAAGAACAUUGCGAGUUGAUGAGCAACAAUCCCUCAGAGAAGAAGAAGAAUAUGUUGUUAGCCUGUGUUCAAAAUUAUAUAGCAAUCAGAUAAACCAAUUCUAAAAAACAGAAAAGCGAAGGACUUUAUUAAAUAUUCAAGUUCACAAUUUUCUUGCAUGUCCUUAAGGAAUUUAAUCCCCUCACUGCACUCAAGGCUAAGAAUUACCUUCUCCCAGGAUAAAACAGAUAUACCUAUUAUUGGUGUAGUGGUACCUCAAAUGCCAAUAACUUCGUCGAACUCAAAGUUAGCAACUAUAGAUGGAGCGCAG